CAACCCGAAGUCUUCCUUAGUUUUGUACAUUUUAGCAUGCUUACACUUUCUAAAGAGGCAUUUAUAUUGUUCAACCAAUGACAUUUUAUAUACAUCCUUGAUGCAUGUCGUACUCAUUACAUGCGCCUUGAUGAGGCCGUAAACCAGAUUAAGAAGAGCAUCUCUAAUGUUCUGUGUGUUUCUUUUUAUAUAUAUUGCUCCGCUGAUUGUGAUCACAGUGGUUUAGCAACAGUACAGGAUGCUAAAUUCCAUGAGUUCGCAAUAGAUUAGUAAGCGUGUGGGGUUCUGUAUUAUGUUAUAGAUCAGAUUAAUUGAAAUUUUGGAAGUUAAGCAAUGUCUUGAGUUUAUGAGGAUUGGCCAGGGACACACCCGUAUCCACCGCUUCCUUGGAAAUAUCUGAAAAUUCUCAACUUACAGUUUCACACAUGACUAUGGUUAAAAUGAAUGCCUGUCUGGCCUUUCCAUCUCAUCAUUGCCACUUCAGAUUUCUGAAAAUGAUUUGCUGCCAAAAGGUUCAGUUUAAAUAUUCUGAGCUAAAGAAGCUGAGCCUUCUUGCUGUACUGUUGCUUUUUCACUUUUAGAAAGAAUUAUAGCUGCAUUCGUUCCUCUCUCCGCAAUUUCUUAAGAAGUUCACCUUUGGCUACUGGCAAAUUAAUGUUGGAGCCUCAGGAUUUGUUUGGUACAAUUUGACUGACCAAUUAGACGGGAACUUUUGCCCUCAGGUUGUCAGUUUAAACACAAUAACGUAAUGACAAUUGUGGAAUGAACUGAAUUAUCUAAUGUUGUAGAUUUCCCGUUUUUUUUAUGGAUUUUGCAUAGGAGUGGCCACAAUUAUAUGGAGACAAAAAAAAUUUGCUGGCUUGAAAUUCUGAAAAAAAUAUUUGCCGCAGGAUAUGUUUUGCUCGAGCCAGUUGUAACGGGUGGAUGGUGAGCCAGCAUUAGCCCUUGGACGAACUCAUGGGUCAACCUUGGAAGAACUGAGUGGUGAAUCUUUGUUCCCAAAGCAGCACUACUCACUGAUGUAACUAUGCCAUAUCACCUGAAUUGUCCGUUUAUGAAAGUGUAGAGCCCUUUCAUGAGGAGUGGAUGUCUAUAUCAGUACUUUUCUUGUCAUAGUCAAAGAAAAGCGAGGACUAAUGUACCUUCCCCAAAUUUAUUUUUUUUAAAAGAAAUUUGGUUACAAGAUGGGUCUUCUUUCCUAUCACUUCUCUUCCUCUUUAUCUAUUUGUUUAUUAUUGUUUCCUUGAGCUUAUAUCAUCUCAUCGUCUUUAGUAACUUGUUUUCUAAACAUUCUAAUUCUCGUGACACUUCUGCUUUCAGGCCUGGACCCUUUUCUAAACUUUUGAUGUAGAGGUUGAAAUAUAUGUUUUUGUAGGGCAAUCAGUUAGGGUCAGCAUGAUUGCUAAAAAAGUCUUGAGCAAAGGAGAAGCAAGGAGGGCUGUCGGCAUGGGAAGGCACAGAAUGGCUGAAAGGGAUAUUGCAACAAACUUGAACUGAUUUUUUAUAGGUACUGCAUUUCAGCAAAUAUUGUUGACUACAACACAGCAUGCCGGAAUGUUUUUGUCACUUAACAAGUCAUUUGUGACGCUACAUUUAAAUUCACUUUCACCAGUAUCUGAUGUUUAUAUGCGCUCCCUGUUGUUUUUUUCUCAUGUCUACUGACGAGUCCAAAUCUCCAAUAUAGCCAAAGGACUUAAACAGGCUCACAGCUCUAUUCGUGACGCAACAUAUAGAAGAGGGUGACAUGGUCACACAGUGAAAUCCCUGAAAUGCCGUCACUAGCGGUUUGGUGGAGAGAAACAGGAUACUGUCGGCAAAGCUGACAGCUUACCAACUAGAAAGGAAAGCAAUUCUUACUCGUAUGGUAUGGAUUUAUUGUUCACUCCACUCAUGUUCUUGUUAAAAGGGAAGGAGGUAUAAUGAUUAAUACAGGGACAUGACUUUCUUUCUACAAGAAUCUUCACACUUUCAAGGCUCUCCCAUGAUUAACCUUUUCUUUUUAUCAUGUAUCUUUUCUUUACUUUUUUUUUUUUUCCCUUCCUUUCCACUUAUACAAGUUUUGAUUGUUUUUGAAUUCGAAGCCUAUCAAUGGAAGAUGUGAGACAUGAUGUUGAAAUGGAUUGGUAGUAUUCAUUGUUGUGGCCCUCCUCUGUGUAUAUAUAUAUAAUAUUCUCUGUUUACACUUUA